rnacentral:rRNA from 1 species
UACGAAGGGGGCUAGCGUUGUUCGGAUUUACUGGGCGUAAAGCGCACGUAGGCGGAUUGUUAAGUCAGGGGUGAAAUCCUGGAGCUCAACUCCAGAACUGCCUUUGAUACUGGCAAUCUUGAGUCCGGAAGAGGUGAGUGGAACUCCUAGUGUAGAGGUGGAAUUCGUAGAUAAUAGGAAGAACACCAGUGGCGAAGGCGGCUCACUGGUCCGGUACUGACGCUGAGGUGCGAAAGCGUGGGGAGCAAACAGG